GGUUAUAUAGUUUAUAAAAAAUAAGAGAUUGCAAGUCUUUAGAAGGUUCCUACCUAUGACU
rnacentral:tRNA from 1 species